rnacentral:rRNA from 1 species
AAGGGGCAGUAAGGCAUGGGUACCUACCUUUGGGUUCGGGAUAGCCAUCAGAGAUGGUGGGUAAUACCGGAUGACGUCGUGAGACCAAAGAUUUAUCGCCCGAAGAGGGGCCCAUGUGAUAUUAGCUAGUUGGUGAGGUAACGGCUCACCAAGGCGAAGAUGUCUAGCGGGUGUGAGAGCACGACCCGCGCCACUCGCACUGAGACACUGGCGAGACACCUACGGGUGGCUGCAGUCGAGGAUCUUCGGCAAUGAGCGCAAGCUUGACCGAGCGACGCCGCGUGAGCGAUGAAGGCCUUCGGGUUGUAAAGCUCUUUAGUGGGGGAGAAAAGCCCGCAAGGGUGUGAUCUAUCCCAAAAAUAAGCACGGGCUAAGUUCGUGCCAGCAGCCGCGGUAAGACGAACCGUGCGAACGUUGUUCGGAAUCACUGGGCUUAAAGGGCGCGUAGGCGGGCUGACAAGUCUGGGGUGAAAUGCCGCGGCUCAACCGUGGAACUGCCUCAGAUACUGUCGGCCUCGAGGAAGGUAGGGGCAUGCGGAACUGUAGGUGGAGCGGUGAAAUGCGUUGA